rnacentral:rRNA from 1 species
CCUACGGGAGGCAGCAGUGAGGAAUAUUGGUCAAUGGACGAGAGUCUGAACCAGCCAAGUAGCGUGAAGGAUGACUGCCCUAUGGGUUGUAAACUUCUUUUAUAAAGGAAUAAAACGAGGCACGUGUGCCUUUUUGCAUGUACUUUAUGAAUAAGGAUCGGCUAACUCCGUGCCAGCAGCCGCGGUAAUACGGAGGAUCCGAGCGUUAUCCGGAUUUAUUGGGUUUAAAGGGUGCGUAGGCGGACUGUUAAGUCAGCGGUAAAAGGCCGGGGCUCAACCUCGGCGAGCCGUUGAAACUGGCUGUCUUGAGAUGUGGAGAGGUAUGCGGAAUGCGCAGUGUAGCGGUGAAAUGCGUAGAUAUUGCGAAGAACUCCGAUUGCGAAGGCAGCACACCGGCGUCGAACUGACGCUGAGGCACGAAAGCGUGGGUAUCGAACAGGAUUAGAUACCCUGGUAGUC